UUUUUUGAAAUCUAAAAAUGAAAUAAAGCAUGCACUUAAUAUAAUAGAAACCUUUGGAUCGCUCUCUGGACUCAAACUCAAUAGAAACAAAACAGAAGGUAUAUGGCUAGGUAAACUUAAACACUGCAAGGAUAAAUUCGAAAACAUUGAUUGGAAACAUAACGUAAAAAGUCUUGGGAUUUAUUUUGGCUCUGACAAGAAAGAAUGUCAAAAACUUAAUACAGAA
rnacentral:lncRNA from 1 species